rnacentral:rRNA from 1 species
GACGAACGCUGGCGGCGUGCUUAACACAUGCAAGUCGAACGGAAAGGCCCCUUUGGGGGUACUCGAGUGGCGAACGGGUGAGUAACACGUGAGUAACCUGCCCUUGACUUCGGGAUAACUUCAGGAAACUGGGGCUAAUACCGGAUAGGAAUCCUUGCUGCAUGGUGGGGGUUGGAAAGCUUCGGCGGUUUUGGAUGGACUCACGGCUUAUCAGCUUGUUGGUGGGGUAGUGGCUUACCAAGGCUUUGACGGGUAGCCGGCCUGAGAGGGCGACCGGCCACAUUGGGACUGAGAUACGGCCCAGACUCCUACGGGAGGCAGCGGUGGGGAAUAUUGCACAAUGGGCGGAAGCCUGAUGCAGCAACGCCGCGUGCGGGAUGACGGCCUUCGGGUUGUAAACCGCUUUCAGCAGGGGCGAAGCUUGUGGUGACGGUACCUGCAGAAGAAGCACCGGCUAACUACGUG